rnacentral:rRNA from 1 species
CGCGGUGGGGGGUUGCUUACCAUGCAAGUCGACGAUGAUGCCCAGCUUGCUGGGUGGAUUAGUGGCGAACGGGUGAGUAACACGUGAGUAACCUGCCCCUGACUCUGGGAUAAGCGUUGGAAACGACGUCUAAUACUGGAUAUGAUCACUGGCCGCAUGGUCUGGUGGUGGAAAGAUUUUUUGGUUGGGGAUGGACUCGCGGCCUAUCAGCUUGUUGGUGAGGUAAUGGCUCACCAAGGCGACGACGGGUAGCCGGCCUGAGAGGGUGACCGGCCACACUGGGACUGAGACACGGCCCAGACUCCUACGGGAGGCAGCAGUGGGGAAUAUUGCACAAUGGGCGAAAGCCUGAUGCAGCAACGCCGCGUGAGGGAUGACGGCCUUCGGGUUGUAAACCUCUUUUAGUAGGGAAGAAGCGAAAGUGACGGUACCUGCAGAAAAAGCACCGGCUAACUACGUGCCAGCAGCCGCGGUAAUACGUAGGGUGCAAGCGUUGUCCGGAAUUAUUGGGCGUAAAGAGCUCGUAGGCGGUUUGUCGCGUCUGCUGUGAAAUCCCGAGGCUCAACCUCGGGCUUGCAGUGGGUACGGGCAGACUAGAGUGCGGUAGGGGAGAUUGGAAUUCCUGGUGUAGCGGUGGAAUGCGCAGAUAUCAGGAGGAACACCGAUGGCGAAGGCAGAUCUCUGGGCCGUAACUGACGCUGAGGAGCGAAAGCAUGGGGAGCGAACAGGAUUAGAUACCCUGGUAGUCCAUGCCGUAAACGUUGGGCGCUAGAUGUAGGGACCUUUCCACGGUUUCUGUGUCGUAGCUAACGCAUUAAGCGCCCCGCCUGGGGAGUACGGCCGCAAGGCUAAAACUCAAAGGAAUUGACGGGGGCCCGCACAAGCGGCGGAGCAUGCGGAUUAAUUCGAUGCAACGCGAAGAACCUUACCAAGGCUUGACAUACACCGGAAACGGCCAGAGAUGGUCGCCCCCUUGUGGUCGGUGUACAGGUGGUGCAUGGUUGUCGUCAGCUCGUGUCGUGAGAUGUUGGGUUAAGUCCCGCAACGAGCGCAACCCUCGUUCUAUGUUGCCAGCGGGUUAUGCCGGGGACUCAUAGGAGACUGCCGGGGUCAACUCGGAGGAAGGUGGGGAUGACGUCAAAUCAUCAUGCCCCUUAUGUCUUGGGCUUCACGCAUGCUACAAUGGCCGGUACAAAGGGCUGCGAUACCGUAAGGUGGAGCGAAUCCCAAAAAGCCGGUCUCAGUUCGGAUUGAGGUCUGCAACUCGACCUCAUGAAGUCGGAGUCGCUAGUAAUCGCAGAUCAGCAACGCUGCGGUGAAUACGUUCCCGGGCCUUGUACACACCGCCCGUCAAGUCAUGAAAGUCGGUAACACCCGAAGCCGGUGGCCCUAACCCUUGGGAAGGAGCCGUCGAAAGGUGGAUUCCGGG